UGCAACACCCGGUAUAACAAUUUCAAUAUCCAAAUGAAAUAAUCCAAUGCCAAUUCACCCCUAAUAAAAAAGGCUAUUUAUUUUUGUUAUAGGCUAAUCGAGUACCCACAUCUCGGAUCCAAACCCCCAUACAAUCGCGCAGAUUGGUCGAUGACCCGGAGGCAGUAACCAGUCCAGGGGCUCCUAUCGGUAGCUACUUGAAAAGAACUAAUGCCAGAUCUGUCCAGUCUUCUUACGGGAGAAAAGAUGCUUCGUACAAAGGUUCUGAGGUACCUGUCGACGUCAAACCAUAUUCAGAAAAUUGUCUGAAAGCCGAUCAGAGGUUUAUGUACGAGAUCAUCGGUAAACGGGGUAAAUCGCUGAGCAACAUGGCGCAGGCCCUGUUUCCUUCUAUAAGGAAUAGAUAUCAGUUGCAUGCCCUGGAUGAGAAUAAAAAAAACGAAGAUGAACAACAAAAUCUGUACGAGGGUAGGAUAAUAUCAGACUACGACACCAAGAUCAACGUCCAGUCGGUCCAGCUGGAACAGACUCAUACACAUCAGGGCAGGACAUUCCAGCUCAACUUGUCCAAA